rnacentral:rRNA from 1 species
GAUAACCAGCUUGCUGGGUGGAUUAGUGGCGAACGGGUGAGUAACACGUGAGUAACCUGCCCUGGACUCUGGGAUAACCCCGAGAAAUCGGAGCUAAUACCGGAUAGGACCUUUCCCCGCAUGGGGUUUGGUGGAAAGUUUUUCGGUCUGGGAUGGACUCGCGGCCUAUCAGCUUGUUGGUGAGGUAAUGGCUCACCAAGGCGUCGACGGGUAGCCGGCCUGAGAGGGUGACCGGCCACACUGGGACUGAGACACGGCCCAGACUCCUACGGGAGGCAGCAGUGGGGAAUAUUGCACAAUGGGCGCAAGCCUGAUGCAGCAACGCCGCGUGCGGGAUGACGGCCUUCGGGUUGUAAACCGCUUUUAGUAGGGAAGAAGGGCUUCGGCUUGACGGUACCUGCAGAAAAAGGACCGGCUAACUACGUGCCAGCAGCCGCGGUAAUACGUAGGGUCCGAGCGUUGUCCGGAAUUAUUGGGCGUAAAGAGCUCGUAGGCGGUUUGUCGCGUCUGCUGUGAAAACUAGAGGCUCAACCUCUAGCCUGCAGUGGGUACGGGCAGACUUGAGUGGUGUAGGGGAGACUGGAAUUCCUGGUGUAGCGGUGGAAUGCGCAGAUAUCAGGAGGAACACCGAUGGCGAAGGCAGGUCUCUGGGCACUUACUGACGCUGAGGAGCGAAAGCGUGGGGGAGCGAACAGGAUUAGAUACCCCUGGUAGUCCACGCCGUAAACGUUGGGCGCUAGAUGUGGGGACCUUUCCACGGUUUUCCGUGUCGUAGCUAACGCAUUAAGCGCCCCCGCCCUGGAG